GAUGAACGCUGGCGGCGUGCCUAAUACAUGCAAGUCGAGCGAACAGACGAGGAGCUUGCUCCUCUGACGUUAGCGGCGGACGGGUGAGUAACACGUGGAUAACCUACCUAUAAGACUGGGAUAACUUCGGGAAACCGGAGCUAAUACCGGAUAACAUGUUGAACCGCAUGGUUUAACAGUGAAAGACGGUCUUGCUGUCACUUAUAGAUGGAUCCGCGCCGCAUUAGCUAGUUGGUAAGGUAACGGCUUACCAAGGCAACGAUGCGUAGCCGACCUGAGAGGGUGAUCGGCCACACUGGAACUGAGACACGGUCCAGACUCCUACGGGAGGCAGCAGUAGGGAAUCUUCCGCAAAGGGCGAAAGCCUGACGGAGCAACGCCGCGUGAGUGAAGAAGGUCUUCGGAUCGUAAAACUCUGUUAUUAGGGAAGAACAAAUGUGUAAGUAACUGUGCACAUCUUGACGGUACCUAAUCAGAAAGCCACGGCUAACUACGUG
rnacentral:rRNA from 1 species